AAAUAAGAAGCAAACAUUGCAUUUAAUUUCGACUUAAAAGAAGAGUUUUAUUACUCCUUAUUUA
rnacentral:tRNA from 1 species